rnacentral:piRNA from 1 species
CCCACGGGACUCAGCAGUGAUAA